UUGAUACUCUCUCCGUCCAACAAAAGAUGUCUCAAGUUUGUUAAAAUUUGGAUGUAUCUAGACAUGACUUGAUGUAUAGAUGUAUUCAAAUUUAGACAUGACUUGGUGUAUAGAUGUAUUCAAAUUUAGUCGAAAUUGGGACAUCUUUUUUUAGACAGAGGGAGUAGUAG
rnacentral:pre_miRNA from 1 species